ensembl:lncRNA
CGAUUUAACAUCUUCAGGGCUCAGCUCUUCAGGAUAGAAAUAAUAGCUCCUUCCUUGCAAGUUUACAAGAUUAAAGGAGGUAUUACAUGUAAGACAGACUACUCUUAAGCUCUGGAAUCAGAACUGGGUUCCUUUGUCGUCCUGUUACUUGUGAUUGUGAUUUUCUUUCCUUGGCUGCUGUGAUGGACAAUACACCAAAUAGAGACUGCUCACCUGGAUUCAGAGAGAAAAGUUCAUGCAGCAGACCCCCAGCCAAACCAUGAUAGAAAUUCAGUCCAGGAUGAAGUAUUUGGAUUUGAAUGUGGGUUUUCCCUGCCACAGCUUUCUCCUUUAUGGGCAAGAGAACCCUGGCAUGGAAUGCUGGACCGUUGGAUUAUCUUAUGACCUGAGUGUGUGCCACUUCUUGACUUCAGGAUGGAGAACGAGGAGACAGCGCGGCUGCUGAAGAGAUGGCUUCUCCAAACACAAAUCUUCUGAUAAUUAGCAAUCGCUGGGGGAAUACAGGAAGUCGUAAUGAGGAAACAACCUGCCACGGCCUUCACAGUCCAAGCAGGUGGUUGGGGACAGGAGGCCUAGUGAUCUGAAGCCGAGAAUUUUAAUUGGUUGCUGAUUCUGCAUGCAAGGCUCGAGUUCUGGAUUUUGUAUCUCCUGUCUGGGAAUGACUUUGCAAAAGAAACAACAAUGAGAGGAAGGAGGAGACGGCUGAGACAUCCAGUUGAAACCAGUUAAAACUGGUUGAAGGCAAAUGGCAGUCUAACCUGACCUGACAUAGACCCUGCAGCUCAUUAUACGCUUGUUGUGGUAUAUUACCCUGCUACAUAACACACCCACUAGCGCCUUGACAGUUCACAAUUGCCAUGGCAAUGGCAGGAUAUGACUAAAUAAGGAAAGGAAAGAAAAGAGGUGGCACCCCUGUACCUCCUAAAAGUCUGCCCUGUUCCCCAAAUACUAUGAAUAAUCCUCCCUUUCCUUACCUCAAGCUCUUGUAACAGCUGCUUACUCACCCCAAGAGCAUAGAAGUUGAUUCAUGAACACAGUUCCCACUUCAUUCUUUGGCCAUUGAGUAAAAGCUUGUGCCGGUGAAUGCUCAGCUUCAGUUUCAUUUCAAAUCCAUGACACCGAACAGAAAAGAACCCUCUGAGGAAGGGAUGGAUUGUGGAUAUGAGGCCCACCCAUGGGCCCCUCCUUGGAGCUCUUCUGAAUGCGGGUCUGAGUCCCACCAGAGUGAGGAGAAAUUGCUAACAAGUUGAGUAUGUGAAGUUGGAUCUCAGAGAUUUCUGGGCUAUUUCUUCUGACUCCUUGGGAGUCUUCUCGUUUCCCCAUGCUUUAAUUUUAAGUUUUCCCAUAUCUUUUCUUUGGCCUUCUUCACUUCUUACUUGACAGAUUCUCUCUGGCUAAUGACAUUCGCUCCUGGGUUUCAUCUUUCACCUGUUUGCUAAUGACAUUCACUUCUUUAUCUUUAAUUCGGUCUUCUCCCCUGAAUAUAUAGGUCUAUAUAUUCAAUUUCCUAGUUGGCUUUUUCUUGUGUAUAUUUCAAAUGUACCCCAAACUCCAUAUAGCUGAUAAAGGCACAGCCACCCAUUGAGAAAUCUGAGACUAUUCUGCACCUCAUCUUUGUUUUCACUCCCCAAAUACAAUCAAUAGCCUAGUCCUGUUGAAUGAUGUUUUUAAUCUUCUUGAGUAUUUAUAAAAAUAUGCUUUACUUGGAGUUAGUUUAGUCCUAGAGUCUGAGAUGGAGCUGGACCUAAAGGUGGGUGUUAAAUGGUCUCCUCUGUGAAGGUCCAUAGGACAGAAAGCCAAGCAUGUUGUGAGGCUAGGUGAUGAAGAGCAGGGAAGUGUCAGGAUUCAAGCACUAUGUUAGGGUAAUUGUUCUGGCAGCUGUGAGCUAGACAGAUGGGAGGAAGGAGAGACUAGAAGCAGAGAAAUUUCAGAAUGGGAACUGUGACACCAAGUUGUUUCCUAAGAAAUUAUAAAAUGAAAUCGCACAAAAUCAAAGGUGCUAAUAUGUUUUCCUUUUCAAAGGAGUUUUUAAAAAAAUUUUGAUGAAGUCUCACUGAAGAAUCAGUUCAAAGGGGAUGAGAGAUGGAAAGACUACCCUCAGCUGGCAGAACUUGGAUCCCUUAGUGCUGUUCCCUGAAGUUUAAUGUCCUGUCUCAUUUGAAACAUCUGUCAUGAGAAAAUUUCUUAUGACUCCAGAAAAUUAAUCUUCUUAAUGUGAAAUGUAUUGUUAUAAUCUAUGUUACUUAAGGUGUGAUGUGACUCUCUCCCACACAUAAACACAAUCUCUCACACCCUUAAUCAUCAUUUAUUCUUAGCACAUUUGUUUGUUAGAAUUUGAUUACCAGGACAUUUUCAAAAUCAUGUAUUUGACAUUAGAAAAUGUCUUGUAGAAUACUGUGACCCUAGCAUAUUUAUCUGUGUGGCUUGUCACAGUUGAUGGGAGGAGUGUAGUGCUUAGUAUAAACCAGAUGUCUCUUUCUGGAUAUCUAUCAUCUGUAUCCAUUGAAUAAUGGUUUCAAAUGGAGAUCAUGAGCAAUCUUAAAGAGGAAAAUUAGUCAAAAAAGGACAACCAUUCCAACAAGAGUGCUAAGGCUGAGAAACCCAUGGAGUGGUACCUCUGCGAAGGAUUUUGACUUGGUAUGCCUGUGAACCCCAAUGAGCAAUGACACAGAGAGCUGCUUUCUUUUUACUGGGCAUCCCUCUGAGAUACUGCCCUAUUGAGUUACUCUAAGGAUUAGUUGGUGUCAUUUGCCUACUUCAUAGAAUGGAUUGAAAUCCAGUAGAAAGCCAAAUAGUUAGUGAGGACUUAGUAAAUUUUCCUGUUGGUAGAAAUUGUGAUAUAUCAAAUGAAGGCUGAGAAGUUUGGUGUGUUAAAUAAACAUUCCAGAUAACUGGCACUUCUACAAUGCUGUGUAUGUCUUAUAGAAGAUAGCUACCCCUUUAAUAGAUUAAGAAAAUUGUAAGCAGGGGAGUAUAGAGAGUAGGUAGAAAAGAGUAGCUUUUUAUAAGUUCAAUACAUGAUGGAUUGUCCACUAAUUCUCUUCAAGUUGACUCCUUUAAUACUUGUUAUUGGUAGAUACUAAAGCCACUCAAUUCCCCUUUGGAACAUCAAAAAUUGGCCAAAGAAGAGAAGUCUGUCACUCAAAAGCCCCUGAUAAGACUCUAAAUCCAUCUCUUUAUCUCUCCCUCCCUCCUUCCUAGAUAACUCUGAAUCAACAUGUCAUAAUUUCAGCUGAAACUCCUGCUUUGGCUGGUGGUCUCCUCGUGUGCCAUCAUCACACAUCAUUUUACCCCCCUCGCUGUCUGUAUCAUUUCAAUUAAAAUGGCCACUAUGUGAUAUAGCAGAGCCUACGCGCAAGACGGAGAUUUGACCACAGAAGAACCACAGACCUCAUGAAAAGCCAUUUCUCCUUGGAAGUCUCUGUAUCAGUGUCAACUUGACAAUAGUAAUUGCUGAUGAGACCCCGAAAAUCACAGCCAGCUCCAUAAUAAUGUCCAUAAAAUGACUACAACAUUGAAGACAGCAAUGAGUAAAUCUGUGACUUUUGUCUGCUGCCACACUUCAACCAAGGACAGUUAAAGAAGAAAAUGAGGAAAUCCUCUCUCUGGAAUUUAGCACCUCAAAACUUUGGGAGGCAAUUAAUGGACAUUAAAUCAUAAAACAAUAUUUUUUUGAGAAUAAAACUCAAGUCAAUUUGUAAUGCUGCUUGAAAAUUCUUGGAGUAAUGGGAAAAGGCUCUGCUUGCUACACAGUUUUAGGAAAGAAAGCAUUGCUCAUAUUGAAUGGCUCUUGUCAUAUAAAACCUAGGCCCUUUUUUGCUCAUUCAGAAAUGUGCUACCCAAAAGGGAACACUUAUGUUGUAGUGUUUAUAUUGUGUUUAAUUUUGACAUAUUGAAUAAAGUUUAUAAAAAC